rnacentral:rRNA from 1 species
UUAAGUUAGUAAGGGCGCACGGUGGAUGCCUUGGCACUAGGAGCCGAAGAAGGACGUGACAAACGACGAAAUGCCUCGGGGAGCUGUAAGUAAGCGACGAUCCGUGGAUGUCCGAAUGGGGGAACCCAACAGGUUGAUGCCUGUUACCCAUUUCUGUUAAGGAAAUGAGGAGGAAGACGCAGUGAACUGAAACAUCUAAGUAGCUGCAGGAAGAGAAAGCAAAAGCGAUUGCCUUAGUAGCGGCGAGCGAAGAGGCAGGAGGGCAAACCGAAGAGUUUACUCUUCGGGGUUGUAGGACUGCAAUGUGGACUCAGAAUUUAUAGAAGAAUGGCUUGGGAAAGUCAGCCAAAGAGAGUAAGAGCCUCGUAUUUUAAAUAGAUUCUGUACCUAGCAGUAUCCUGAGUACGGCGGGACACGAGAAAUCCCGUCGGAAUCUGGGAGGACCAUCUCCCAACCCUAAAUACUCCCUAGUGACCGAUAGUGAACCAGUACCGUGAGGGAAAGGUGAAAAGCACCCCGGGAGGGGAGUGAAAUAGAACCUGAAACCGUGUGCCUACAACAAGUUCGAGCCCGUUAAUGGGUGAGAGCGUGCCUUUUGUAGAAUGAACCGGCGAGUUACGUUAUGAUGCGAGGUUAAGUUGAAGAGACGGAGCCGUAGGGAAACCGAGUCUGAAUAGGGCGCUUUAGUAUCAUGACGUAGACCCGAAACCAUGUGACCUACCCAUGAGCAGGUUGAAGGUGCGGUAAAACGCACUGGAGGACCGAACCAGGGCACGUUGAAAAGUGCUUGGAUGACUUGUGGGUAGCGGAGAAAUUCCAAACGAACUUGGAGAUAGCUGGUUCUCUCCGAAAUAGCUUUAGGGCUAGCGUCGACAUAAAGAUUCUUGGAGGUAGAGCACUGUUUGGGUGAGGGGUCCAUCCCGGAUUACCAAUCUCAGAUAAACUCCGAAUGCCAAUGAAUUAUGGUCGGCAGUCAGACUGCGAGUGCUAAGAUCCGUAGUCGAAAGGGAAACAGCCCAGACCACCAGCUAAGGUCCCAAAAUAAUUGUUAAGUGGAAAAGGAUGUGGGGUUGCACAGACAACUAGGAUGUUAGCUUAGAAGCAGCUAUUCAUUCAAAGAGUGCGUAAUAGCUCACUAGUCGAGUGACCCUGCGCCGAAAAUGUACCGGGGCUAAAACAAUUUACCGAAGCUGUGGAUCCCUUAGGGGAUGGUAGGAGAGCGUUCUAUGUGUGGAGAAGGUGUACCGUGAGGAGCGCUGGAACGCAUAGAAGUGAGAAUGCCGGUAUGAGUAGCGAAAGACAGGUGAGAAUCCUGUCCACCGUAAGACUAAGGUUUCCAGGGGAAGGCUCGUCCGCCCUGGGUUAGUCGGGACCUAAGGAGAGACCGAAGGGUGUAUCCGAUGGCCAACAGGUUGAUAUUCCUGUACUAGAGUAUGAAGUGAUGGAGGGACGCAGUAGGCUAACUAAAGCAGACGAUUGGAAGAGUCUGUCUAAGCAGUGAGGCGUGGUAUGAGUCAAAUGCUUAUACCUAUAACGUUGAGCUGUGAUGGGGAGCGAAGUUUAGUAGCGAAGUUAGUGAUGUCACACUGCCAAGAAAAGCUUCUAGCGAUGUAUCAUACUCUACCCGUACCGCAAACCGACACAGGUAGUCGAGGCGAGUAGCCUCAGGUGAGCGAGAGAACUCUCGUUAAGGAACUCGGCAAAAUGACCCCGUAACUUCGGGAGAAGGGGUGCUGAUUUAGGUCAGCCGCAGUGAAUAGGCCCAAGCAACUGUUUAUCAAAAACACAGCUCUCUGCUAAAUCGUAAGAUGAUGUAUAGGGGGUGACGCCUGCCCGGUGCUGGAAGGUUAAGAGGAGUGCUUAGCGGUAACGCGAAGGUAUGAAUUGAAGCCCCAGUAAACGGCGGCCGUAACUAUAACGGUCCUAAGGUAGCGAAAUUCCUUGUCGGGU